rnacentral:misc_RNA from 1 species
GUGCUGCUGCUUCUGCUGCUACGAAACCUGCGAGCACUGCCUCGAGUGCUUCUGCUGCUGCUGCAAGAAGGACAACUGAUAGAGAUCAAGAUCGAUUUCCUGGAUUUGUUAGCGAAUUGUUCGUCGAAAUAAUAAAAGGCUAGCUUGGUGUGAUUCUUCUCGGUUUUAAUUUGUGUGUUAACUAUGCGUUAACCGUGGUGAGCUA